GCCUGGAUGGCUCAGUGGUUGAGCAUCUGCCUUCGGCUCAGGACAUGAUCCCAGGGUCCUAGAGUCCUGGGAUCAAGUCCCACAUCAGGCU
rnacentral:tRNA from 1 species